GAUGAACGCUGGCGGCACGUCUGACACAUGCAAGUCGAACGACAAGCCGGUGCUUGCACCGGUGGAGGAGUGGCGAACGGCUGAGUAACACGUAGGAACCUACCCUGUGGUCUGGGAUAACGGACCGAAAGGACCGCUAAUACCGGAUAUAUCCCUCGGGAGGAAAGCUCCGGCGCCAGAGGAGGGGCCUGCGGCGUAUUAGCUUGAUGGUGAGGUAACGGCUCACCAUGGCAGUGAUGCGUAGCUGGUCUGAGAGGACGAUCAGCCAGACUGGGACUGAGACACGGCCCAGACUCCUACGGGAGGCAGCAGUUCAGAAUCUUGCACAAUGGGCGAAAGCCUGAUGCAGCGAUGCCGCGUGUGCGAAGAAGGCCUUCGGGUCGUAAAGCACUGUCAGAGGGGAAGAUAGUGACGGUACCCUCAAAGGAAGCCACGGCUAAUUACGUGCCAGCAGCCGCGGUAAUACGUAAGUGGCGAGCGUUAUCCGGAAUUACUGGGCGUAAAGCGUUCGUAGGCGGCGUAGCAAGUUGGAUUUGAAAUCCCGGGGCUCAACUCCGGAGCCGGAUCCAAAACUGCUAUGCUUGAGCAGAUCAGAGGGCAGUGGAAUUCCCGGUGUAGCGGUAAUAUGCGUAGAGAUCGGGAGGAACACCAGUGGCGAAGGCGGCUGCCUGGGGUCUUGCUGACGCUGAGGAACGAAAGCUAGGGGAGCGAACGGGAUUAGAUACCCCGGUAGUCCUAGCUGUAAACGAUGGGCACUAGGUGUCGGGAGCUUCGACCCUCUCGGCGCCGCCGCUAACGCAUUAAGUGCCCCGCCUGGGGACUACGGCCGCAAGGCUAAAACUCAAAGGAAUUGACGGGUCCCCGCACAAGCAGUGGAGCAUGUGGUUUAAUUCGAUGCUACGCGAAGAACCUUACCAGGGCUUGACAUCCCGGUGACCGCCCAUAGAAAUAUGGGCUUCCCUUCGGGGCGCCGGUGACAGGUGGUGCAUGGCUGUCGUCAGCUCGUGCCG
rnacentral:rRNA from 1 species